AGAUAUUGUCUCUAGAAACAUCAUUGAGACCAGGAGAUGACAUUGCAUGUGUGGGUGGUGGAACUAAUAGGUUGGAUAAGGUAUAGUGAGCAGGACUAGAGGCUCUACAGUGAAAUAAGCCAAUAAACACUAACCAGAACAGCAAUGGACAAGGCAUAUUGACAUUAAGGAGAGGCAUGCUUAGUCGAGUGAUCAAAAGGGUCCAGUGAGUAGGUUGGUUGGGGGUCACGGCGAUUUAGACAGCUAGCCAGGCCAUCGGUAGCAAGCUAGCAUAGGAUGGAGGUCUGUUAUUAGCCACCUCUUGCGUUCCGUCAGUAGAUUAGUGGGGUUCCGUGUGGUAGAGGGGAUUAAUCCAAAUCACACAAAAAAAAAACAAUAGAUAUAGUUAUAGAGGCCCAAGAAGAAAAAAAUAAAUAAAAAAAAUAUAAAUAAAUAAAUUGUCUGAUUGUCUAUUCAGAUAGCAGCCGAUAAGACAGCUAACGGUUAGCGGGCCGCAGAUGGGCGUUCAGGUAACGUCGCGACGCAGGAGCCAGCCGGAUAACUCCUUCAGGUAGAUUAUGUCGGCAGUCCAGCUGUGAAGGCCCGGUGGGGCUCCGCGUAGGCAGUAAAACGGGUCCGGAUAGGUGAUUGUAGCCCAGGAGUGAUUGAUGGAACUCUUCAGCUGGCUAGCUCCGGAAUAAUUGAUGUAAUUGACUAUCGACGAAAGCCGAUAGUCACACGGAUAGCAGCUAGCUAGCUGUGAGAUCCAGCCAGGUAUGAAUGUCCAGAGUUAGCGGUUGAAAUCCUGGGACAUGGAGAGAAAAAUUGGUUCGGUAUGUUCCGUUCCGAGCCGCGCUGCGCCGUACAAAACUGGCGAUAGAUUUUCGAGCUAAAGGAUAGCUGAUGACCACAAACCGUGGUUAGCUGAAUACGAACGAUUAGCAAGUAAAGAAGCUAACUAGCUUCUGAUUAGCUUCUGGAUUAGCUUCUGGCUAGCUCCUGGCUAGCUUCUGGCUAGCUUCUUGGAGGAUUACAGAUUUGAGGUAAAUAAUACUUUUUUUAUAAAUAGAAAUUGGUGAGGUGGGUUUAUGGAAAAUUAAAAAAAAUAUAUAUAAAAAGGUAUGUGAAAAAAGUAGUAAAUAUAUAUAUAUAUACGGGUCACGACAAGAUGAGGACAAAAGACGUCUGAACUGCUAUGCCAUCUUGGCAUUAUCAGAAGUGAAUUUAAUUAAUGGCAUUUAGCUAACCUGUCUGCUUUGCUUUGCUUUUGUUACAGUUUAUAGUCAAAGUUAACUUGCUCCUAACGCUCUAGGGAAUAACUUCAUUGGCCACCUCAAUAAUUAUGAUAACCCUUACACGGAACCCAAACCGGCUGCGCGCGUGCGCCAUCGUGAGCAAAUUGAUUUUGUCCCCCCACACCACACGCGAUCAAGACACGCAAGUUAAAAUAUCAAAACAAACUCUGAACCAAUUAUAUUAUUUUGGGGGCGGGACGAUGUUUUUAACGUCUUUUCAUGCCUGCAUUUUCCAGUGAUCCUGAUGAAAUGUAUUUGGAUUCUUCUGAUUUCACCUGUGAUUGAGGAGUGAUAACAUGGGUAUUUGGCUUCUGGAGACUAUUUGCAGCCUGGCCUUCGCCUAUCGUCUUGGAUUCGAGACAGUGUCGCAGUGCAUUAUGGAGACCUGUGAGGCCAUAGAGAGGAAGAUGCUGGCGAUCCAUCUGCCAUGACCCACUGAGGAAACCUGGAGACAAACUUCAAGAGUUUCAUGAAAAAUGGGACUUUCCCAAUUGUUUGGGAUCGGUUGAUGGAAAACAUGUUAUGAUCACCAAACCACCAAACUCAGGGAGACGUUUUUUUAAAUUAUAAAGGAACCUUCUGUGGUGUUACUCGCCCUUGUGGAUGCCAAUUACCACUUCACAGCUAUUCAAGUGGGGGAUUUUGGGAGAAACAGUGAUGGAGGAGUCUAUGCCAACUCCCCACUUGGAAGGGCAAUGGCAUCAAAAACACUGCAGGUGCCUUUCUGCCUGGGGGUGAAGAUUUAGGAAAGAUACCAUACACAUUGGUGGUGCACGCUGCCUUCCCACUAAAGCCCUACCUGAUGAGGCCAUAUGCCGGGCAUAACAUCAGCUACGAGAAAGAAAUCUUCAACUAUUGUCUCUGUCGAAUGACAGUGGAGAAGGCAUUCGGGAUCCUUGCGGCCAGAUGGAGAAUCCUCUACCAAAAAUAAACCUACUGCCAAGCGAGGUUGAUACCCUAGUGGUUGCAAUGUGCAUCCUCAAUUUCCUCACAAGCCUUUUGAUGUGGAGAUGUGGUUACAGCAAGGUGGGGCAGGGAUGAGGCAAGGCAUGAGAGGCAUAGCCAUCCAGGCCAAUAGAGCAGGUCAGGAGGCAGUUUCUGUCAGACAAAAGUUUACUAAGUAUUUCACCUCUGUGGAAGGCAAAAUUGACUUCCAGGACAGAAUGGUUGUAGCUAGGCCUACUUACUUAGAUGCACUGUGUGAGAGUGUGUGUGUGUGUAGUUUAUCAACUCGGGAUAGUAAGUUCAACUUUGACAUCUUCAUUUGUUUUGUGUAUUCAUUCUACACUUUAAAACGAUUGUACAAUUCCACCAUUAUUUCAACAACGAACAAAAAAUGUACAUGAACAUUUGAAAAAUUGAAAUACUUGUAAUUUUCAACAACACAAAAAUCUCACAUGACUGUUGGCUUCAGAGGAUUUAUGUAUUAAUAAAAGCAUACAGCACACAUGGCAUUUACAUUCAGCUAACGCUAGCUAGUUUGUUUUAUACCGAGGAUGAACAUUGGGUUGUUAUACUUUACCUGAAAUGUGCAUGGUCUUUGCAAUCUCUCUCCAUAACGCAUCUUUAUUAGUUGGAUCCUUGUUGAAUUUUGAAGACGGGUCAUAUAAAAGUGAGUACUUCUCUACUUCAACGAUAAAUCUCUCCUCGUCCAUGUUUCAAGCACCCACGUUGGCUUUUGUUUACAGGAAGUAGGGGACGGACGUAUGUUUGUUGUGAGAACCAAUGAGUUUAUGAGAGGCGGAACUUCCAGACUUGAUAUGUCGGUUUGCAACCAAUUUAAGGUGCAUUCCGCCACCAACUGGACUGGAGUGUGUACCUUGCAGUUAGUCUUUCAGUCACACACGUGGGUAUAACCAAUAAGGAGAUGACACAUGAGUACCUGACAAACCAAUGAGGAGAUGGGAGAGGCAGGACUUCAGUGCAAUCUGUGUCAGAAAUAGAAUUGAUUUCUAUUUUAGCCCUUGCGUCACAGACGCUCGCGAGCAGUGGGUGCAAUAAUUGAAUAACAUGGAUUUCUAAAUUUAUUUUGCAACACUUGGGCACGCGACGUGUCCGUGUAAUGGUUUUCUUGAGUUGAAGGAGAGGCGGACCAAUACGCAGCGUGGUUACUAUUCAUGGUUCUUUAAUAAAGCAACAACGCAUGAACAAAUUAACAAAACAAGUGAAAAAAAAAAAAACCCAAAACAGCCCUAUCUGGUGCAAACACAGAGACAAGAACAAUCACCCACAAAACCCAACACCGAACAGGCUACCUAAAUAUGGUUCCCAAUCAGAGACAAUGACUAACACCUGCCUCUGAUUGAGAACCAUAUUAGGCCAGACAUAGAAAUAGACAAACAAGACAUCCAACAUAGAAUGCCAACUCAGAUCACACCCUGACCAAACAAAACAUAAAAACAUACAAAGCAAACUAUGGUCAGGGUGUGACAGUCUGGUCUGGUCAGCAUGUUAUGAUUAACUUAGACUCAGCAAAUGAAGAUAAGUAAAAUAUUUUUCAGUGGGUUAUACUAGACUAGGUCAGUGUGUUAAUGCUGCUGGACCCCAGAGUACUGAACAAUGUCUAGCUAAUCUAACACAUCUGUUUCAACUCAUGAAGACAGAACUAUGUCAGAGAGAUGCCUAUAUUGUCCAUUACUGUGCUGGGUCGGAGAAGGACUGAGAAACAUUUGAGUAAGCUGGUUCGAUUGCACAUGUGAAGAUUUGGGAUUUCUGUUUAAAACCAGGUAUACGUGGCAGAGCAAAAAUAUGUGAAACUGUCUGAGCUGACAUUUGAUUCUUUCUUGAAAGAAGGCGUGUGUGCGUUACCUUAGGUUUGAUGGUGCCUUUAGUUAGUUAAGUUGUAUUUUUCUUCAUAUUGACACUAGUCCCCAACUAUUUCACCUUGACACACAAUGUCUGUGUUUUUUUUCUUCUUCAGUUUUCAUCAAAUUCAGCAUACCAGAGGAAAGACAGUCUGACAUCAACGUGUAUGACCAGUCUCACACAGAAAUUGACUCAGAGGUGUUUGAAGGGAUUGCAAAGGAGUCACCUGGCACCUUCUGGACCACUCUAGGCGAUGAAGGACUUGCUUUUCAAUCAUCAUCGUCAUCCUCUGUAAGAUCUGAUGACACUAAUUCUGAAUUUCACUGUGUGACCAUCAUGAAGAAGCAGCCACUGGUGAAGGGAGCCAACCCAAAAGAUAGUGCCAGAUAAACUAAGGCUAAAGCGUUGAUUGAAAGAAUCCGAACAUCAAAACCUGGUGGUGAACGCAUCAUACAAGAGUAUGGAAAACCAAGACUCUGACAGAUGCCACCAGAAGGCAGAUGUCAGGAUGAUGUAUGCACAGGGAAUUGUUGCAUUGUUUCCUUAUCUCGAAGACUCAUUUUCAAAAAAUGUAUAUGAACAUUACUAUGAUCAAGAGAGUGGGUCUGGAUACAUGGCAUGAUUGAAGACCAUACAAAAAAAAGCACAUUUCCCGAAGUUGGUGGGCCAGGCCAUGGUCGAUAGCCCUUUCACCCGUGACGAAGUGCCAACUAACGAAGACAUCGAGGCAGCCAUUGCUGUUUUUAGAUUUUCUGCUGAUGAAGACUCUGUCCGGGAGAAGAUGAAGACUGCCUUCCCUCAUUGCCAAGCUGAUGCAGACAAAUCAGCAGAUGUCUUCUCAGUCUUCCCCAGGGUAUUGGAUAUACCAGGACUGAUAGAACAAGACUUCAGGCUUCUGUUUGGUGAGGCCACAACCAACAAGUUCUUGGAGAAGUGGCCAACCACUUUCAAGGGAAAAGUGAUGGAAAGUGAUGGACUUACACCCACCACAGAACUCUUGGAAUUGAUGUGCAAUGCUGAGUCAGCUGUUGAAAAUGAGAAUGGACAGAUGUCUGCAUGUCAAGGGGUUGAUCAGCUCAUCAGAUUUCAAAAGGUUGGAACCAGUGUGCAGCAGCAUCUGGAUAGCAUCACCCAAAGCGGUCAGCCCUACCUUCUUGCCUUGGGAUCCAUAAAGAGCAGCAUUCACUCCUACUUUGUUGUGAUCGACAAGCAUGCGGUUCCAGUAGGAACCUUUGACGAACUCUUUAAGGCUCACUUCAUCGUUGGUACAUCAUACAGUUCUUGCCUGAGUAACUUCUUCACUUUUGUGCAAACAACCAUCUACAACAUUGAUAUGGGGGAAACAAAGGAGACUCCCCAAGUUGCUGAGUUGAGAGCAAGAAUGUUGCGUUAGUGAAGAUCUGCUAAGGUGAAAUUAUGAAGUGUUUUCUAUGCAAGACUGAGCAUACAAGUUCCGCUUCAAGUGUCAAUCAGAAAAUUAUGAUUGUAUAAUAAUAAUAAUAAUUGUCAAGCACCUUAAAGUAAUUAAUGGACUUUGUCCAGGGAGAACUCUUUAUCUAAAAUGUGGUCAAGUGGGAUGUUCACGUUCCUUUGGUAGCUUUUCUGGUUUUAGAAAGCAUUUAAGUAAUUGCCACAUUAGCAGUUUAUUUGGUUCAGUCGGUGGUGUUGAUUUUUCAAACUCUCAAAGCACCUUUAACACUUGUAAAGGUAGUGAUGUUGGAGAAGUGUUGACUGAAAAUGUAGAGUGAGUCAGCGACGUCUUCCCCAGACAUUGUAAAUAGUUGUGCGUCUGUAAUUGCUGAUCUAAAGGCAGCAGGUGUAGGUCAAAGUACAGUUAAUUCUGUUGUGAAUUCCAUGGAAGAGAGAGUUCAUGAUAUCCAACAGCGAGCUAAAUAAACUUUCGUUAAGCAUGUUCUAUGUGAUGAAGGACAAACUGAAAUAUCCAAGAAAGGAGGCAUCUUUUGAAGGGUUAGAGAAUCCUUUCACUGUGCUAAAUUCUGAAUACAAGAUGUCCACAUUUUUCAGAGAAGUGGGAAACUGUAGAACCAGUUGAACAUGUCAUUGGCUCAAGAUUUGACACAAGACGAAACAAAAAGACUGGAACAUAUGACCAGAUUGUAGUUCAAGACAAAUUCAUGUAUGUUCCAAUAUUGUCUACCUUGCAGUCAAUAUUCAAAUGUAAACAUGUUUCAGAGAUGUUUCGCUUUCCUAGUGACACAAGACUUGUGUGAUGGAUCUUUUAUUAGGAGUCACCCUCUUUUCUCAACAGAAAGACACGUCAUACAGAUUCAAUUGUUCUAGGAUUAUUUUAAGGUUGCAAACCCUGUGGGUUUCAAGUGAGGAUUUCAUAAAUUGGGUGCUAUAUAUUUUACUUUAAGGAACUUCUCUCCUAAAUGGAAUUCUUGUUGGGCUAACAUAUACCUGUGUGCCUUAAUUCAUGCUCAAGAUCUUAAAUGUUAUGGAUUAGGGCAAUCCUUGCUCCUAUUGUUUGAGACAUUAAAGUGUUAGAGUGAUGGCAUUGUGGUUCCUUUAUACAGUGGUUGUGUUCAUGGCAGUGUGGUUCAGGUUACUGGCGAUAAUCUGGGUCUACAUAGUUUGUUUGGCCUGGUGGAGUCUUUCAGCGCAAGUUAUUGCUGUCUUGCAGAAAAAGAUGACUCAGACAGAAUUCUCUGAAGAUUGUCCCAAGAUAGCGUUGUGAACUAAAGAAAUGCACACUGCUCACUGUCAGAGAAUGAAUAGAAAUCCAUCUCUUCCAUACGUUUUUGGUGUGACGCAUUCGUGUUUAUUAAACUGAGUAUUAUCACAGAACUGAGAACUUCUCAGUUGAUGUGAUGCAUGAUGUGUUAGAGGGUGUGGCCCAGUACGAGUUGAAGUUAUUUAUCUGAAGAAAAAACAUGUAACAUCAGCAGAAUUAGAUUUAAGAAUACAAAGUUUGAUUAUGAUUAAUGGAAAGAAACAAACCCGUGGCUGUGAAUUUAUCAGAAGGAUCGAAUGAUUUGGGGCUUAAUGCAAUUCAGUCACAGUGCCUACUGAGAAACGCUCCUCUUAUUUUGGGGGAUUUGGUAACUUCUACUGAACAGCACUGGGGCCUACUCCUUUUAUUACUUUAAAUAGUUAACAUAAUAUUUUCUCCUAUGUUAACAGAGGGUCUCUGUGUUUAUUUAAACAGUUGUUUUCCCAGAGAGAACUUUUACCAAAGCACCAUUUUCUAAUCCAUUAUCCCCGCUGCAUCUAGAAAAUUGGACCUGUAAUUCAUAGUUGGUGUAUGCAGUAUGAAGGUAAGCAUGCUUUUUUGAAACUACAAUCUUAAAUAAAAAUUUCAAAAAACUAUAUGGCGUAUAAUUGGCAAUCCUCUACACUUUUUAGUCAAUAAGACAUUGGUCCUGUGAAAUGGUGCCUUUGAAUAUGGUAAAAGCUGGUUCUAUGAUUGCUGUGGCAAUUAGCACUCAGGUUAUGAAAGUGGACUGGGCUAAAUACCAUGGCUUUGUUUACCGCCCAAGCAUGUUAUCUGUUGUAAAAUUGAAUUUGAAAUGCCUCCGUUUUAUCAAAUGGAAAAGUGUUGCUGCUCACAGUGCCUUUAAUUACUCUAGCUUUUCAAGAACAUUUCAAUGUGUACAAAGUAACCAAGUCAAAACAUGGUUUUGUUUUCUUUCAUGUCCGACAACCUGCAUUAUCAUAGACCAUUUGAUAUACAAAUGUCGUAUGGAAGGAAUUAGAUAUCUAUUUGUUGUCCCAUAUUGCUUUCUCUGGUGAGCAUGUCACUUGCGAUGUUGACAGUGUAAAUGGUUACAUUGAUUAAAGGCAAGGUGAGGGGUGGGUUGAUGUGCAUUAACAUUGAAAUGGAUUACUUUUAUCAUGUGUAAUUGUGUUUAUUCACAUUGACACCAAGUUAAGUAAUUGGGUAAUACUACUGUGCAGUGGA
ensembl:lncRNA